UUUAAAGGUAUAACAUAAAUUUAUUAUUAACAGAAAUAGAGGAGGAUAAUGAGAAGCAAAAUAAGCCUUUAAAACAUCCUUUUUUUUUCCUAGCUCUGACCUCUUUCCCACUGACAGCACAGGGAGACAGCACAUGGGGGUUUUGGUCAGUUCAUCACUCGAGAUCUCCUGUUCGCUCAGGAAGUCUCCUCCCCUCCCACGGGCAUACAAUCUUCCCAAAAUGUCACUCAUCCACACGCUGUAGUCUUUUAAGGCUAGGCUCCUUUAGUUUGGAUGUAAGGGCCUUCUCUGUCUAUUUCUGGAAGCAGGAACCUUCUCUCUUCGUUUGGGUCUCCCACUGGAUCACAGUGUUCUCCUGCAUCCACUCGCUCCAUUGGGAGCACUUUUCCCACGGGCUGCGAGUGGAUCUCUGCAUCCCCUGUGGACCUCACGCAUUAUAAGGCAGAGUUUGUUUCACCAUAGCCCUCACCAUGGCCUCCAGAGGAAUCUCGGCUCUGGCGCUUUGCAGCAAUUCCUCCCCCUCUUUUUCCACUGACCUUGGUGCCGCCAUGUUGUCUCCCUCACAUGUCCUCUCUUCCAUAAGAAAAACUGCUGCUCGUAAGUACCAUUGCCAGUUCCACUAAUUCAAAGAUUCUUGCAGAUCCCACAGCACCAAGAGGUUGAUUUCAUCCAGGUUCUGCAUAGGGCAGUCACCCGCCACGUUUUCACUGUUGGCCACACGGCCCCAGCACCAUGGCACAGACAGCAGCGGCCAUGGCGCUGGCGCUGUUCAACGCCUCUCCUCGCGCGGGAGCGGGAAGGAGAAGCGCCGGGAAGGAGAAGCGCCGGGAAGGAGAAAAGCGCCGGGAAGGAGAAGCGCCGGGAAGGAGAAGCGCCGGGAAGGAGAAGCGCCGGGAAGGAGAAGCGCCGGCCCUGCCCAGUGCCGCAACACGGCCGGCUAGGGCGGCCAGGCAGGCACGGCUCCUGCAGGCCGCGCUGGUGGCCACAGCACCUCCCCACCCCUCAGAGAAAGCUGUGCACAUGCUGUUUUGAUUUUCUUCUGAAGUAUGUCAUCCCCAAGGCGUUACCAACCUCUCUAAAUUGGGCCAGCAGCAUGUCCAUCCUCAGAGCCAUCAGAGAUUGGAGAGAUUGGCUCUGCUGGACAUGGUGGGAGCUCCUAGCAGCUUCCCACAGAAGCCACCCUUGUGCCCCCCCAUGGUUUCCUCCCCUGCCAUUACCAAAACACCAGGCCCUGCCAAAUCAACACACCCCUCAAGGGGUUAUCACAGAUUUAAUGGUAACAGCUUCAAUCACCAGAGCUCAGGUAAACAACCUGAAGCUGCCAUGUCAUGAUUCAAGACCUGCCUACAAGAUAAAGGAUCCAUAAGGAUGCUCCAUUGUUGCCUGCCUUGCUGCAGUUGGCCAUGCAUAGACUUUUAAACACACAUCUCAGUGACUGCUUGGAGUUACAGGCUUGUGAACAGUGCUUGAGAGGAUGCUGCUCUUCAGGGGAAAAAAAGACUGCAGACAAACCCAGCCCCAGAAGCUAAAGAGAACACUUGUUUGUAUGCUUUGUAAUAUCCUAAAUAUGGGAAAGUAACAUUCCCCUAAAGCCACCUCGCUGGUCAGGCCACCCUCUCUUCUGGUUCACAAACUCACUUUCAUGAUUUCACAAGGAACAGCUGCUGGUAUAAAUCAAAUUCUUCACAGAUUAAAGAGAAGGAAUCCAAAAUAAGCUGCUAAAUACAAGCUUUUCCUGAAAAGCACCAUCUGAACCUUGCCUCAAGGCUUACCCCCCAGUCUUUAUGGGGAACAGGGACAGGAUUUCUAAGACAUCCAUUACCAGUUAUUUUAAAUAGAUCUCCAGCAUCUAUUCUCCAUGGACAUGAGGGCUCAAUAGCAUCAAAACUUCAGGACAAAUUAUUUCAGUAAAUCAGAAGAGAAUACAGGAUAAGACACCAGCACCUGAGUGAUUACUAUCAUUAAAGAAAGCAAACAAACCCACUUUUCCAUUCAGUGACUUAGUUCCAGUUCUGCUUGGGAAUCCCAGCAUGGACUGAGCUCUGCAGUCCCAGCACUGAUUGAACUCCACAGUUCCAGCAGAAACAUUCACCUGAUGGAGGAGUCUGCACAGAAAAGCCAGAGAAGAAAUGAAGGAAUGGGGCAUUAAAUGACCUGUCUGGGCACACAGUUAAUUACUGUGGGAUAACAGUCAGAUCUCCAAAAUCCCAGCUCUGUCUCCCCAUCCCUCACAGGCCAUGCUGGCUCACCAAUAAAGACUUCUCUUCCUCAAUAAAGAAGAAGGAAGAAAAAUCAUGACGUGGGGCCAGCAAGGAAGGCAGACAAUCUCCUGCACAUUUUGUUGAGCCAAAAUAAGCCCUUUGAGCUCACCCCUGAGCACUCACAGAAACCAAACACACUCUGAAAGGAAAUGAGUGUUUCAUUCAACCCAGUAUAAGAUAAUUGUAAAUAGUGUAGCAGAGCAGCACAUCAUACAUCAGCAGAGAAGCCUUCAGUAAAUCAUGGGCAGCUGAAGAUCAGACCUGCACCACAGCAGAGCUCCUACACCAACCAUCAGUUCUUACUACUGUGAGAAGACACAACUCCUCACAGGUACCUGCACACAAUGACAUGGCAAGGUAGGGCCAUUGCUCGCAGGGGAACAAACAUGGAUCAUGUGGAAUCACUUAUGCCUAUUUUUCCAGUCCCAUCAGAGACCACUCAAACCCAACACCUCUGAUUUCUCUCCAGGAAGAACAGGCUGUCCCUUUUUAAAAGCCUCAACAAUCCACACAUGACUUUUGAGAUGUCUUGAGACUGAAUUUCUGUAAGAGGAAUGGAGGGAAAUGAGUAAGUCAUUAUGUUUAAGUCAAACCUAUAAAAAGAUACACAAGUGUCAGACUCCUGGGUGACAACUGUGGGGCGGCAGGUGACUCAUGCCCUGGCACAGGCACACUGUAAUUUGGUGCAAAGAAGUCAUGGUAAUCAAUAUUUACAGGUGGGUAUUUUUAUAAAAAAAUACACAUUUGCCACAACAUAUUUAGAGACUGUUCUUUGAAUACAAAUAAAAGCAUAGAUGAAAAAUUCUACACUGCCCUUAAAGAUAAAUAAGUCUUCAAACAUAAAUACAUCUUCAAACCUGACCAUGGAGAUGGACAUUUACCCUGGGUCAAAAGCACCACUAGAACAACCCCACUGACACCAACACCCAAAAGAAGGGGCUGAGAGAAUUUCUUCACAGAAAAGGUUAUUAAACACUGGAAGGGGCUGCCCAGGGAGGUGGUGGAGUCCCCAUCCCUGGAGGUGUUCAAGGAAGGCCUGGACAUGGCACUGUCAAACCAGGACAGGCACGCAGUGCUCUGGGCUGGUGACAAGGUGGGGAUCGGGCACAGGAUGGAGUCGAUGGCCUGGGAGAGCUUUUCCAGCCUAGAUCCAACCUGGUCCUGCAAUUCUGUGACCACUCCACGGGGGACUUCUGAAACUUGUUUAAAGGGAUCACUGCUAUUACACAACUGUUAAAUAUGUUCAUAUUUCCAGCAUGAAAACAAACACUGCCAACAACUCCUCAGAGAUUAAUCUUGGGAAGUACCAGAUAGAUUUCAAGAACAUAAGGUAAUUACUUGGAUG
rnacentral:lncRNA from 1 species